UUACGGCCAUAUCACGUUGAAACACCGGUUAUCGUGCGAUCACUGAUGUUAAGCAACGUCGAGUCUGGUCACUACCUAGAUGGGUGGGCUUGGGAAUACCAGGUGCUGUAAA